UUCCGUUUCCCCAUCAGUACAACGAGGGACUGGGUCAGGUGGCCGAGACCCCCUCCGGGUCUGACAGCUGUGUUUUCAGGCGGUGCCUGUGCUUGGAGGAAGCAAGCAUGGAUUGGGCUCAGCAAAGAGCCGCUAGGCUGGGCUGGGCUGGGCUGCCCGAGACGGCGUCCACGGCCUUGCCCUCCCGUGUUGCUCCCUCUGUUCACACCUCCAUUCAUUCACUCAUUCACUCAUUCACUCAAUAACCUUUUCCCGGACCCCUUGGUGACAGCCUCUGCUGGCCUUGGGGCACCUCGGCGGGAGAGCAAGCUUUGCUGCACGUCUAGUGGGGGGACAGCCGUGGACAGGACACAGGUGUGGCUGCACGGCAAUGACUAGGUGCGGACUGACUUCCCGUCUCAGCUCGGCUCUGUUCUGGCUGUGGGACCCUGAGAACCCUUUUGUGACUUGCUUCUGUGGCCAGGUGACGUGUGCAGCCGCAGUCCAUCCACUCUGGUUCCGUGUGGUAUCCACCGUAUGCCUGCACCAUACUUGAAAACAGCGCUGCUGCGGACACUGCAAACAUCACCUGGGGCCUGCAUGGUCUCCAAACCGUCCUGUUUCCCUUGAUCUCUCGUCUACCCCAGCGGAGAGGCCAGGCCGUGCUCCGUUGUGGACACGUCACCAAGACCCCGACACCUCGUGGUCGGCGUCCCCAGAGCCUCAGAGGAACUCUGGGAUCUGGCAGGGCAGGGAGGGCCUCCUACCUUGUUAUCCUUCAAGACGAUCUUGGCUGUUCUUGGCGUUUGGUAAUGCCACGGAAAUUUCAGAAUCAGAUCAUCAAAUUCUAUAUGUGCACACACACACGGGAUUGUGAUUGGCUUUGCAUUGACUCCACAAAUCAUUUUGGGGGAAAAUGAUAUCUUUAUAAUA